AUAUCAUCUAAUAUCACACAAACUAAACUUUUCCAAGAGCCUAACAAUUCCUCAGCAACAUUGUUAUUGGUUUCAUCAUUCAUGUUAAAUGGAAGAAACUCAAAGUAAGCAGUAUUUGGAAACAACACAUAUCUUGUAGUCUCAGGGGGUUGCAUUAUGUCUAAGUUCAAACCAACACUACACUCAGAAGCAAAGUAAUCUCCUCCUAUAACAGGUACUUCUCCUGCAUAAUACUUUACCUUUGGAUAAUAUUGCUUCAUGAUUCCAGUGCUAACACACUUUAUAUAUCGAACGUUUUGCCACAAUCUAUCUGCAAUUCCACUCCAAUCAUUACUAUUAUCUUCACAAAUUAGCCUUAUUCUGUUUGGUUUAAUUAAUUAAAAAAAUAAAUUAAAAAAAUCUUUAAUAUAAUUGCUAAACAAUCUCAAACAUGUGACAUCCAUCGUAUUAUUUAAGUGUAAAAUUCGAUUUUAAUAUAAUGUAUAACAAAUUAGCGUAUUCUACAAAGGAAAUAUUAAGACUAUUUUUAGUAGAGAACUCAUUUCUGUCUCUAAAAUGUAACUCUAAAUCAAUCUUUACGUCAUAAAAAUAUAUAGAAACUUAAAGUAUCUCUCUUUUUUAUUAAGAGGAACUAACUUUAGUUAAUUAAUUAAAGUAAUUAAAAUUUUUUAUAAAUUAAAAAUUAUUAAAACAAAAAAUAAAAAAUCUCUUAUUAGCUUAAAAGGAGGAGGGGGUGGGGGGAAUAGCUGUUGCAAAUGCAAUUCGAAUUCUCUGAUUCCUAACCGUAUCAUAUCCUAUAUCCUCAUUCGCCGCCGACAUGAGCAACGAGAAUUGGCAGUUGUUGAACCCGGAAACGGUGCUGUCAAUCCCACUGAAGAAGACUGAUCUGGUGGAGCUGUACUUGCCGUUACGUAACUUGGUAGCCUCAAAAUACUCCGAGAGCGAUGCACAAAAAGUUGAAAGCGUUCUGCAAACUCUGAACAAAUGCCGCAUGGACAUGGUGGAGCGUAGAGGGGACCUCUCCCUUCCCAUGCAACGUGACUGCCUCAUCCAUUACUUCAAAUGUCUUUGCAUGGUUGAGUCACUCUUCACCUCUCUCUCCUCCGACGCCGACCCCAUCAUCUUUGUCUGGUACGACGCCUUCAACCCUGAGCACGAGGAUGGGGUCUCCUCACAGCGCAACGGCAUCCAAUUGGAGAAAGCCGCUGUUGUCUUCAACCUUGGAGCCAUCUGCAGCCAGAUUGGUGCCUCUUGCGACCGUACCACCGCCCUUGGCCGUCACCUUGCAAUGGAAGCCUUCAAAGUUGCCGCCAAUUUCUUCUACAAACUCUGGAAGGCUUUUGCCAAGCAUGUGGUCUCCGCCACGCUCGAUUUGACUCUAUUCUUCGCGGAGUUUCUGCACCGUCUCUUCUCCGCUCAGGCUUCCGAGCUCGAAUUACAGGAGCAACUCAACAACAACGACGCCGGUUACGCUCUCCAACAACACCGAUGUGCCCUAGCGUUUGCAUCGGUCAGUCUUUACUCUUGAAUUCUUGAUUGAUUUUACAUUUAUUUUUUCAUUCUAGUGAUGAUGAUGAUGAUGAUGACGAUGUAGGUUUAUGAGCAUUAUCAUAGAGCAUAUGAACUGAUACCUCCUGAUUCGGCAGCACGGAAACAUGUCGACUCUUUUGACCAAACCUGGGUAACUCAUCUUUACCAGAAGGUGACAUUCUUUCAGGAGGAGGCUCGUCAGAGGCAAUCAUCCAUCCUAACCGAAUCCGAGCGACCUUCUGUGUUCUCAAGGGUCCAAUCUUGUGCUCUUGAUCAUGAUGCAGAAUGUGUCACUGAGAUAUUAGUUAGAGGGUUUUGCAGCAUUUCCAGGCACUCGAUAUUCAAGCCACGACAAAUAUACGUUGACCUCAUCCUCUCGGAGUACAAUCCUUUUAAGCUUAUGAAGGAUGGAAAGCUGGUGGCUUACCCAUGGGACAUGCCUCCCCCUUAUCAAACGGAUUCGGCAAUCCUCUCAUCUUCGAUGUCUUCUUCGCCGUUUUCACAUAUGCUUGCAUUCCUUCCUUUGAAGAAGACUGAGCCCUUGCAUCUCUAUGAAUCCCUGCGCAAUUACUUUGUCCUCAAAUACUCUGAGAGCGUGGCAAAGAAAGUAGAAGGCCUUCUCGAAAUGCUACACAAAUUGCGCAAUCAGAUGCUGCGUGAUGACCUUUCUCUACCCUUUCGCCGUGACUGCCUCAUCGGUUAUUUCAAAUGCCUUUGCAUGAUUGAGCCUUUCUUCCCUAUGAAUGCCUCACCCAACCCACCUAUCUUUGUUUGGUACAAUGCCAUCAACCCGCAACAAGACUGUUCUCAGCAUGACAUCCAUUUGGAGAAGGCCUCUGUUCUCUUCAACCUGGCAGCCCUCUGCACCCACAUUGCUCUCUCCUGCGAUCUCACCACCAUCCAAGGCCAUUGCCUUGCCGUGGAUGCCUUAAAUGAUGCUUUACAUUGGCUCAAAAAACUGAUUUUUCCGUCUAAGAAGGCAUCUGGCACGAUUGACUUGUCAGAACUAUACACCCGUGCGAUAAACAAUGAGAUUGUCAGCUUGAAAUCCAAAUUUCCUCAUCCCCAAUGUGAUGUAUCCUCAUCACCUGGAUAUCCUGUAUGUAAAACUAACUACCUUUUUCAGUUGAUACUUUCUUAGUACAAUUGAUUGAUGUCAAUCUUGAUUUGUUAAAUUGUUUGAUUGAGAUGAUGCAGGCUGCAGCUUCUGAUCCGUUGGCAUCUGGGCCUUUAGCUGAGAUUCUUGUUCAAUCCUCGCCACCUGAAUUUCGUGGGUCGAAGAUGAAAACCUGCCCGAGUGACAGUGACGUCAUCGGACAAUUUCUUUUAGGGUAUUAUAAGGCUCACUUCCUGCUUCAAAAGGUAUGUGAAGCACCAUGCUUGGACCUUCUCUCUGAGGUUAGCCCUGUCAAGAUUAAGGAUGGAAAUCUUGUGGCCAAUGCAACCUUAGAGGCGGCAUUGGAGAACAUGAGCUUGCAGGAGACACAACAGUAACAUUACCGUAGAGAAAAACUAAACAAGAUUUAGGAAUGCACUUAUUUACUUUUUUAAAUUGGAUGUUGGAACUUUGUUUGUUGAUGCUAGAACUCUUUUUGUGAAAUAUUAUCCUCGUGAUUUUGUUUGUUAUGUGAAUAUAUUUCUUCUUAUUCGUCGACAAUUUGUAGUGAUCUGUAUGCCUCUGAUAUGAUCUCGUAGCUAUUGCUAGUUAUUGUUGCAUAUUAGUAAAUUGAACUUAUUCAGUGUCUCCAAUCUCCAUCAAGGCCUAAUAAUUUUAAACAAGCAAAUAAUAUCGUUUCAUUUAGAAUCAUCCAAUAUCACACAAACUAAACUUUUCCAAGACGCUAACAAUUUCAUGAUUCCUUAGAAUCUUGGGUGGUUUAUAUUGACUAGCUGGUGUUCCAUUUCUAAUGGCUGCUUCAUAUAACUUAUCAAAUGCUCCAGGCCUUAGAAUGAAUACCAUUUAGUUCCCAAGUUGACCUUUAACCUUCUCCACUUUGUACAAGGCUCCCAAGCUACCUUCAAGUGAGGUAAUACAACUUCUCAAUGUCCUAAUUGAUUCCUCUUGUUUAUCCUCCAUGAAAUCAGAUUCCUCUUGAACUUCUACGAACACCUUCAACUGCUUCGGCCUUGAUUCUUGGUCUAAGAAACUUGCAAACUCAACUAUCUGUGUUCUCAUCAUGGCACCUCUUAGUGAAAGUUGAAAGUUAUCAAUUGCUGAAAUCAAGUCUCUCUCAGUUAGAAUCUCAGAUGCAGCUUUAGGUGCUCUCAUCACAAACUCCACUUCUGGAGAAGAAUUAUAGAAGCCAAGAAUUCGCACUACAUCACCUAAACGAUAGCGAUAGAAUCCGCCAUAAGUAGUAACAACUAUUUCAUACAUCUUCCUAACCUCUACACUGCUAUGAUCAAACAUUUCGUCAGCAACAUUGUUAUUGGUUUCAUCAUUCAUGUUAAAUGGAAGAAACUCAAAGUAAGCAGUAUUUGGAAACAACACAUAUCUUGUAGUCUCAGGGGGUUGCAUUAUGUCUAAGUUCAAACCAACACUACACUCAGAAGCAAAGUAAUCCCCUCCUACAACAGGUACUUCUCCUGCAUAAUACUUUACCUUUGGAUAAUAU
rnacentral:lncRNA from 1 species